GGAAUUUUGGACAAUGGGCGAAAGCCUGAUCCAGCCAUGCCGCGUGCAGGAUGAAGGCCUUCGGGUUGUAAACUGCUUUUGUACGGAACGAAACGGUCUUUUCUAAUAAAGAAGGCUAAUGACGGUACCGUAAGAAUAAGCACCGGCUAACUACGUGCCAGCAGCCGCGGUAAUACGUAGGGUGCAAGCGUUAAUCGGAAUUACUGGGCGUAAAGCGUGCGCAGGCGGUGAUGUAAGACAGUUGUGAAAUCCCCGGGCUCAACCUGGGAACUGCAUCUGUGACUGCAUCGCUGGAGUACGGCAGAGGGGGAUGGAAUUCCGCGUGUAGCAGUGAAAUGCGUAGAUAUGCGGAGGAACACCGAUGGCGAAGGCAAUCCCCUGGGCCUGUACUGACGCUCAUGCACGAAAGCGUGGGGAGCAAACA
rnacentral:rRNA from 1 species